rnacentral:lncRNA from 1 species
GACAGACCACUUCCAACAGUUUACUCACACAAAGGAGACUAACACAAGGACACGAUUAUCACAAAGAUAAUCAACAGAAAAUCUCACACAGAGAAGAAGAAAGAGUCACAAAGACGAAGCCCUUGAAGGUUCCAGAAGACACAGAGAAAAACAGAGAAUAAAAAAUGACGAUCCACAUGCCAAACAAAGCAAAGGGUCGUAUUUAUAGUAAAACCCAUCCACCGUUGAUUAAGCGGGUUAAUCCAACGGUCCAAGAGCGACUAAGAUACAUGGGCUGAAUAUUGGGCUCGGUUUAAGUAGGCCUUCUAGGUAUAUUAAAAAUGG